rnacentral:lncRNA from 1 species
CCAAGCCAACUGCAAUCGAUAACACUAAUAGGCUCACAGAAUAAAUUCCUUAAACAGCCAUGUCAAAAUAUAAUUGAAUACCUAGUAGGCUAGUAAGAGCAAAUUUGGUUUUGGUAACUGGCAUUCUAUUUCCCUAGGGAGUGACAUGGAACAUACACGAAUUUGGAUUGUUCGGAGUCAACAAUUUCAUGCAGUUUGCACAUUGAUGGUCAUUGGAUUGAGAUCGAACAAUCCAUAUUUCAAUGCAGAUUUGAUUUUAAAAUAAAAUACCAAAUUUGAAAUCUAGACCGUCUGAUCUCAAUCUAACUACCGAUGUGCUGACUGCAGGUAAUCUUGAUGAAAC